CCUACGGGUGGCAGCAGUGAGGAAUAUUGGUCAAUGGCCGUAAGGCUGAACCAGCCAAGUAGCGUGAGGGAAGACUGCCCUAUGGGUUGUAAACCUCUUUUAUGCGGGGAUAAAGGUGUCCACGUGUGGAUGUUUGCAGGUACCGCUUGAAUAAGGCCCGGCUAAUUCCGUGCCAGCAGCCGCGGUAAUACGGGGGAUGCGAGGGUUAUCCGGUUUUAUUGGGUUUAAAUGGUGAGCAGGCGGAAUGUAGAGUCCGCGGUAAAAUUUGGGGGCUCAACCCCGGCGUGCCGUUGAAACUGGCGUUCUUGAGUGAGCGAGAAGUAGGCGGAAUGCGUGGUGUAGCGGUGAAAUGCAUAGAUAUUACGCAGAACGCCGAUUGCGAAGGCAGCAUACCGGCGCUCAACUGACGCUCAUGCACGAAAGCGUGGGUAUCGAACAGGAUUAGAUACCCCUGUAGUC
rnacentral:rRNA from 1 species